UGUCAUUGUUUUUUAUUCAAUGGUAUAAAUUCCAGAGAACUGAUAGCUCCACUUUAAUGUAGCAAAUUGACAGGUUCUCAUAGCUGGCAGUUUAGUGACUUAUCACUUUGUUGUGCGUUCUUAAAGCAGCAUAGUGUGUUAAUGAUAUUUUAAAUGUGCGUGAUCACAGUGUUGUCAUUUCCAAGGCUCAGUCACUGAAUCAUUUCUGAAUCAGCUCUAGACGAUCAACUGUCUGGGCUGUGAAAGAGGGUGGUAAUAGAAACAAAUAAGUUGUGCUUAAAAGGGUUAACCCUUUAGCUGAAAUGGCUCUUUAUACAUACUACAAUACAAUGACAAGCAAUAACUGAAUAUCAGUGGGGCAUGUCAUUUAUGGUCUGUUUCCUGAAAUCUCUAUUGCAUGAUACAUAUUAACUUUUAAAAUGUCUGUUUUCUAAAGUCUAACAUAUUAACUCAACCACAAAUACUUUAAAUACUGUGUCACAGGGUAUUGUGUAGUAGAUUAGAGAGCAAUGAUCAAGUAAUGAAAUAUACCGCCCAAAAUCCUUCUGCUCACCGUAAAAUUAUUAAAUGAAAACGUGUUAAUGCAAGUUUUUCAUUGCAAAGACUGCAAACAAGAGAACUUCAGUAUUUGUAAGCUGCUUUAGAUAUACCCUCAAUUAAAUAAUUCAUAAAUGUUUUAAUUUGGGGUAUAUCUACUAGAGUGAUUUAAAAAAAAAAAAAAAAUUGGGUGGGGCGGCAAUGGAGUGUCCCUUUAAAAUGAACAAUUACACUAUUUAAAAUAUAUUUAACUAAAUCAUGCACCAUUUUACUUUUGGUUACUAUAUCCAUUUUUAAAGGGACACUCCGUUGCCCAAAUACAAACCUUUUAUACUGUUCAGUAAAUAUACUCCAAUGAAAGCAUGCAUUUUUUUAUUUUUUUUUAUUCUUUAUUUCCAAAGAGCCAGAUAUCCUUGUAAUACCCACAUUGCAUACAUUAUUGGCAUUUUACAUUAUGUGUAUAGUUGUGCAUAUAUUAUAACCUUGAACAGCAAUACAAUCAAUAUUCUCUAGAUCAUAACUUUCUUGGGGUUUAUAUCAAGAUAAUAACUUAAAUGUUUAAAAAAUAAAGUGUAG